rnacentral:lncRNA from 1 species
CUGGUUUGUAAUCAAAUCCGAAACUGUUGGAUGACACUAAUCCAUCCCUGAGACUUGAUUACCUCGGGGUCAGCUGCCGAUGCUGUUGAGCACCUUAGGCUGAGGACUACACCCCGAAGCCUGGGGGUCUCCAAAUAACCCUGAAAGGACCCAUCUUCCUGAGCCAAAGAGUGUCACCUCUGUCCUUGCCUUUGCCUGCAGCACAGCAUGGGCCACUCAGGGGAUCACGAGCCUGAUUUAACCUGCCUGGCCCCCAGUUCUCUCCUUCAGAAUAAAGAUCCAACACAUAUGAUUGUGGUGAGAAUUAAAUGAGCUAAGAUUUGUGGAUUACAGUACUCAGAAGGAUUUCUUGGUGUUUCACUGUUUUGCUGUUUCAGUAAUAGUCAUCAUCAUCAUCAUCAUUAUCAUCACCGUUUUGAAAGCAUUGAGGUUUUGUCAUCAAGAAAGAUUUGCAAGUUGAGAUGAAUUGCUUGGUCUAGUACUUGUGGUUCUCCACUGCACCUGACAUGACCCAGAAACUCUUAAGGUAAGUUUGUGAGUUCAGUUUGGAUGAGGACCUUAAAUUAUAUCUUUUAAUGUUCUCAUUUAGGAGCUCCAUAUAGUUUUCUCCUCCUCCUCUUCCUCCCGCUCCUCCUCCUCUCCUCCCCCUCCUCCUCCUCUUCUCCUCCUCUUUUCCUCUCUUCCUCCUCCUCUUCUCCUCUCUUCCUCCUCCUCCUCUUCUCCCCCUCCUCUUCCUCCUCUUCUCCUCCUCCUCCUCCUCUUCUCUCUUCCUCCUCCUCCUGCUCUUCCUCUUCCUCCUCUUCUCCCCCUUCUCCUCCUCUUCUCCUCUCUUCUUCCUCUCUUCCUCCUCCUCUUCUCCUCUCUUCCUCCUCCUCUUCUCCUCCUCCUCUUUUCCUCUCUUCCUCCUCCUCUUCUCCUCUCUUCCUCCUCCUCCUCUUCUCCCCCUCCUCUUCCUCCUCUUCUCCUCCUCCUCCUCCUCCUCUUCUUCUUCAUCCUCCUGCUCCUCCUCCUCCUCCUUCUUCUCUUCUCCUCUCUUCCUCCUCUUCUCCUCCUCCUCUUCUCCUCUCCUCCUCCUCCUCUUCUCUCUUCCUCCUCCUCCUCUUCUCCCCCUCCUCUUCCUCCUUCUCCUCUUCUCCCAUACUACCAUGCCACAAUGCUUCUUCUAUAUUCUGGGUUUUUCCUAUGCUCUUUCAUCUUUUCCCAGUGUGUUAAGAGCUGCUACCCAUCUCUCAGUCAUCUUUAACUUCCUUGGUGCCCUGGAGGAGGCUUUGCAGCACAAAGCACACAAGGAGAUGGCGGGACAAACCAUGGGCAGGACUGGGCCCGGAGCACUCACUCUCCCCGGCCCUUUCUCUGCAGACCUAGAAAAAUAA